GAUGAACGCUGGCGGCGUGCCUAAUACAUGCAAGUCGAGCGAACGGACGAGAAGCUUGCUUCUCUGAUGUUAGCGGCGGACGGGUGAGUAACACGUGGAUAACCUACCUAUAAGACUGGGAUAACUUCGGGAAACCGGAGCUAAUACCGGAUGAUAUUUUGAACCGCAUGGUUCAAAAGUGAAAGACGGUCUUGCUGUCACUUAUAGAUGGAUCCGCGCUGCAUUAGCUAGUUGGUAAGGUAACGGCUUACCAAGGCAACGAUGCAUGGCCGACCUGAGAGGGUGAUCGGCCACACUGGAACUGAGACACGGUCCAGACUCCUACGGGAGGCAGCAGUAGGGAAUCUUCCGCAAUGGGCGAAAGCCUGACGGAGCAACGCCGCGUGAGUGAUGUAGGUCUUCGGAUCGUAAAACUCUGUUAUUAGGGAAGAACAUAUGUGUAAGUAACUGUGCACAUCUUGACGGUACCUAAUCAGAAAGCCACGGCUAACUACGUG
rnacentral:rRNA from 1 species